rnacentral:misc_RNA from 1 species
AAUGCUAAAGUGUGUCGUUUCGUAGAUGUCAGUAACAAAAAGCUGGCAAAAAUUUCGCUUGUUUUUCCUGGAUCAAGCGUGUAUCAGAUGGCGUUCAAAGCUUACUUUUCAUGGAAGACAUGUGGGAUAUUCAGAUUCGUGUUUUAUCGUUGGUAUUUUACUCUUGCGGUAGAGAAAGGUGCGAUUGUUCUUAUCCAGGAGGGAUAAUGGAGCGCGCUGAUUCUGGGUUUCAUCGAUCAGAAUCUCCCGCAUUGGGAAUAAUGUAUGUAACGGCCACCAGAUGGAGCAUAGAUGGCACUUAUUUACG